rnacentral:rRNA from 1 species
GAUUCUGGCUCAGGAUGAACGCUAGCGACAGGCUUAACACAUGCAAGUCGAGGGGCAGCAUAAAAGUAGCAAUACUUGGUGGCGACCGGCGCACGGGUGAGUAACGCGUAUGCAACCUACCUAUCAGAGGGGAAUAACCCGGCGAAAGUCGGACUAAUACCGCAUAAAACAGGGGCACCGCAUGGUGAUAUUUGUUAAAGAAAUUCGCUGAUAGAUGGGCAUGCGUUCCAUUAGGUAGUUGGUGAGGUAACGGCUCACCAAGCCGACGAUGGAUAGGGGAACUGAGAGGUUGGUCCCCCACACUGGUACUGAGACACGGACCAGACUCCUACGGGAGGCAGCAGUGAGGAAUAUUGGUCAAUGGGCGGGAGCCUGAACCAGCCAAGUCGCGUGAAGGAAAGAAGGAUCUAUGGUUCGUAAACUUCUUUUGCAGGGGAAUAAAGUGCAGGACGUGUCCUGUUUUGUAUGUACCCUGAGAAUAAGGAUCGGCUAACUCCGUGCCAGCAGCUGC